rnacentral:tRNA from 1 species
GCGCGAGUGGUGGAACCGGUAGACACACGAGACUUAAAAUCUCGGGCUCGGAUGGGCGUGCGGGUUCAAGUCCCGCCUCGCGCA